GAUGAACGCUCGCUACAGGCUUAACACAUGCAAGUCGAGGGGAAACGACAUCGAAAGCUUGCUUUUGAUGGGCGUCGACCGGCGCACGGGUGAGUAACGCGUAUCCAACCUGCCCAUCACUUGGGGUAAACCUUCCGAAGUAAAACCAAAUACCAAAUGAAACCCCUAAAAAAAAUCUAAAAAAGAUAAAAAUUUUAUCGGGGUUGGAUGGGGAUGCGUCUGAUUAGCUUGUUGGCGGGUUAACGGCCCACCAAGGCAACGAUCAGUAGGGGUUCUGAGAGGAAGGUCCCCCACAUUGGAACUGAGACACGGUCCAAACUCCUACGGGAGGCAGCAGUGAGGAAUAUUGGUCAAUGGGCGAGAGCCUGAACCAGCCAAGUAGCGUGCAGGAAGACGGCCCUAUGGGUUGUAAACUGCUUUUAUAAGGGAAUAAAGUGAGAGUCGUGACUCUUUUUGUAUGUACCUUAUGAAUAAGGACCGGCUAAUUCCGUG
rnacentral:rRNA from 1 species